rnacentral:sRNA from 1 species
CGGAAUCCCAUCUCGUCCGACUCGUAGA